rnacentral:rRNA from 1 species
CACGUAGGGCGCGAGCGUUGUCCGGAAUUAUUGGGCGUAAAGAGCUCGUAGGCGGUCUGUCGCGUCGAAUGUGAAAAUCCGGGGCUCAACCCCGGACCUGCAUUCGAUACGGGCAGACUAGAGUUCGGUAGGGGAGUCUGGAAUUCCUGGUGUAGCGGUGAAAUGCGCAGGAUAUCAGGAGGAACACCGGUGGCGAAGGCGGGACUCUGGGCAUUAACUGACGCUGAGGAGCGAAAGCAUGGGGAGCGAACAGG